CUCCGCCACCCACCUAACGGCGAAGACCGGUUUCUUAAAGAGGCAGGUGGCCCAGGGCGGAGCGAUGGGGAUGCUGAGAGGGUCUGCUUUGACUCACCUCGCUCCCGGGGUCAGGGGUAGGGGGAGCAGAGAAUUCUCUAGAGUGGGGUUUACUUUGUAUUUGGUUAUAUCUCUUUUCUUAUUGAAAUAUAGAACAGCUUAAGGAAAGACGAUUGUAAAAAGGAAAAAAUACCAUCAAUCCUCCCAUUCUUGGCCGUUCUUAAAAAAAUUAUUUAUUUACUUAUUUUAAAAGUGUAAUUAACCAGGGAGGGAGAUGCAAGUCAAUUACUUUUUGAGUGAUUGAAUGCCCAUGGUCUGGGUCAGGAGGAUGUCUGUUCAAGAGACACCUCCGCAUGUGUGUAAUUUGUUUCUUCACUCCUGCAACUGUUUGCCUUAUGGUUUCUGGGCAGUGAGAGGUGGGUAGGGAUUGGCCUCUGUUGCCGCUGCGUCCCCCGCACAGCAUCUGAUCAAUGCCUUGACUACCACAGGAGCCCAGAAAGCGAUGAAGUUGCACUCAGUGACCUGAUGGACUCUCCUCAGGUAUUUCACACGGCUUUCAAACUGGCUUGAAUCAAACAACCAAAUGCCUUUGGCAGUGGCCAGUUUGAUAAUGCAAUAGCUCUCCUUCCCACCCUGUUCUACAACUCUCGUCCUUCACUCCUGGUCCUUGGACUCACAUCUGCCAACAAAGUACUCCCAUGAGAAAAGGAACCCACACUGAGGCCUGUCGGUACCAAGAGUGGUCCCAGAAAGCAGCCCUCAGGAUGGAGUUUUGGAACCAGACCACUCACCAGUCAGAUGGCAACAACAACCCCACAGCUGUGUUGGAAAGAGGGCAUGUGGAAUUUUAGUUCCCCAACCAGGAAUGGAACUAUGCCCCCUGCAUUGGAAGCAUGGAGUCUUAACAACUGGACUGCCACUGAAGUUCUGGCUCUUUUAUCAAAAGUACAUGGCCAUUUUUGACACCAAGAUACGGAGGAUACUUCAGAGAUGCAUUGCUUUUGCAUCUUCCAGAAGCAAGAGAAUCUUCCAGAGUCACUGCUGAUAAGGGAUCACUUUGAUAUCCUUUUAGGAGUCUCCAUCUUAAUACAGGAAUCUCAGAAUCAGCUGCCCUAUCCUACAGCUGGUUCAGAGCGUAGAUUCACCAACACAGAGCUUACAGUGGCGCUUCCCCUCAGAGCUUCUCUAACUUUUGUUAAACUAUUUGCCCAGGACUGUUUUACCCAGUUCCCUGUUUUGGUUUUACCCAAUGAUAUUAUUUAUGUGCAUGUAUAUACAUAUGUGUAAAUGCUUGGGGAUUUUCCUUUAACUCUUAUGAAAGUAGUGCAUUAAAAUAGUUAUUUCAUGGAAUAGCUAAUUGUUUAGUGAGCAAAAGUCUGACAUGCUGCCAGAAAUGAGACUCUCAACUAACUUUUCUAUUAUUCAAAAUUCCAAGUAUGCCUACACAAAACAAGAACAAUGUGAUGAAAUCCUACAUAUCAUCACCCAUAUUUACUUACUGCAAUUUUUCCAUCGAUCCCCCCUUUACUUCUUUCUUUUUAUGAUUUUGUGAGGUCACUUUUAAAACUUAAACACAGACUGGGCUGGGAGCUCCAGCUGCGCGGGCUCUUGGCAGCCGCGGCGACAGCAUCCUCCUCUGCCUCCUCUCUUUCUUUUCUUCCCCUCCGCUUCUUUUUCUUUCUCCUUCUCCUCCUUCUUUCCCUGCCCUGUCCCACCCCCACCUACCCCCCUGCUCCUUCUCCAGAGGACCUUAGGUCCUCAAGUCCCUGAGCGGUGGCAGCGGCGACUUGCGGGUGCAUCGUUUCUGCGCCCAGAUGUGCUUCACUUUGAUCUCAGUUUUAGGAAGUCGUUGCAAUUCAGUGGAGCCAAAUGUGAUUUUACUGAUCUGAUCCAACCUGUCUUAUGACUACUGGCUGGAAUUAAGAUCCUUCAGAUUGUUGUCUCUAAUCGAGGAAACAUUGAUUGGAAACUACUCAUUCAGAAAAUUAAAAGAAAGAAACCAGAACAUAUUAUCAACCUUUUGAGAACACAAUAUAACAAACUUUACCAUAAAAAUAAAUAAAUAAAUAAAAUAAAACUUAAACACAUUUGUUUUGAAGAGAAACUUGCAUUGACUCCGUGGAAUGGAAAACCAUGAUCUCUUGCCAGUAAUAGAAUGUAACUAUGAUAAUAAAA